rnacentral:lncRNA from 1 species
CAGGGAAGACUUGUUGAAAAGGAUUUUGAUGUGCGCAGAACAGCUGGUGACUCUACUGUUCGAGCUGUUCAGAGAGAAUAUAAAACAAACGUAUCAGAAAAUUACCUCGAAAUUCAUCUUUUCUGGGCUGGAAAAGGAACAUGUUGUAUUCCUAUCCAAGGGGCUUAUGGGCCAUUGAUAUCGGCCGUUAGUGCAAAACCAGGUAAUGGCAAAAAUCCUUUUUUUCCCCUGAAUUUCACUCUCUUGAUGCUAGUAAAUACCUAAGUGUUACAUAAUGCUAUUCAGAUUUUACACCAACUGUGGGCAAUAAGCCACCAUCAAAGGAAAAGAACAGGACUGGUACUAUUGUGGGUGUCAUUGUUGGCGUAGUAGGACUUUUGAGCAUCUCGGCAUGUGUGGUUAUCUUCAUCAUCCGAAAAAGAAGAAAGCGGUACACAGAUGAUGAAGGUAUAGAUCUAAUAAGCUUACAAAUAUGCCUUUGAAUUAAAAUUAAACCUGAAUAUUAUCUCUCAAAUUGGUUCUUUUUUGUUGCAGAGAUACUUAGUAUGGACGUAAAGCCUUACACUUUCACUUACUCUGAACUUAAAAGUGCAACUCAAGAUUUUGAUCCCUCAAACAAGCUUGGAGAAGGAGGAUUUGGGCCUGUUUACAAGGUAACUCCCUUACCAAAAAAAAAGAAGAUAAAUAGAAACCAGAGUAUAUGUAAUACGUUUUGUUUAUGAUUAAUACAUUGAAACAGGGAACUCCUUUACUAAAAAAAGUACUUAGAAACCAGAGUAUAAGUUAUACGUUUUGUUUCGCAUAACAGGGUAAACUCAGUGAUGGAAGAGAAGUGGCGGUGAAGCAGUUGUCGGUUGGAUCCCGGCAAGGGAAGGGGCAAUUUGUUGCAGAAAUAGUAGCGAUUUCUGCAGUUCAGCAUCGCAACUUAGUAAAACUCUACGGGUGCUGCUAUGAAGGAGAUCAUCGUUUGCUUGUAUAUGAAUACCUUCCUAACGGAAGUCUUGAUCAGGCUCUAUUUGGUACGCUUAAAAACAUGAUUUAUUGACCCAUGUUUCUGUCAAGCUAAAAGCACACAUUAUCUACUUGCCAUUGAUUUGGAUAUUGCAGGGAAUAAGACGUUACAUCUUGAUUGGUCAACCCGUUAUGAGAUAUGCCUGGGAGUAGCUAGAGGUCUAGUUUAUCUCCACGAGGAGGCGAGGCUUCGCAUAGUACAUAGGGAUGUGAAGGCCAGCAACAUUUUGCUUGACUCUAAACUUGUCCCAAAAGUUUCUGAUUUUGGACUCGCAAAACUAUACGAUGACAAGAAAACCCAUAUAAGUACCCGAGUUGCAGGGACGAUGUAUGUAAACCCUAAACCUGACAACUUGGGAUGUACGUUUUGUUUGCAACACAACUAUGGAUUUAUAACACAAUUUUUCGUGCGAUUGUUUGUACCAAUGCAGUGGAUAUCUUGCGCCAGAGUAUGCCAUGCGUGGACAUCUAACAGAGAAAACUGAUGUGUAUGCCUUUGGUGUCGUAGUUCUUGAGCUAGUGAGUGGUAGACCAAACUCUGAUGAGAACUUGGAGGAUGAAAAAAGAUAUCUUCUUGAAUGGGUACGUCCUUGCUUGUUAUAUAAUUGAUUGUAAAUGAGGGAAGUUUGAGAUAGUAGUGAAUCUUCUUGAAUGGGUACAAAAACUGAUAAUCCUUGUGUUCUUUUGCGUUUGUGUUUUUUCUUAUUAUAGGCAUGGAAUCUACACGAGAAAAGUCGUGAAGUUGAACUUAUUGAUCAUGAGCUGACAGAAUUCAACAUGGAACAAGUUAAACGCAUGAUAGGCAUCGCUCUGCUAUGCACGCAGACACAUCAUGCCUUGAGACCAGCAAUGUCAAGAGUGGUGGCCAUGCUUUCAGGAGACGUUGAGGUCAGUGAUGUCACCUCUAAGCCUGGCUACCUUACCGACUGGAGAUUUGAUGACACCACAAACUCAUCUCUCAGCGGCUUUCAAACCAAAGACGACACAGGCGCAUCAGAAUCUUUCUCCACGAGCUUUACGAGGCCUGGCUCCGAGAUAUCACCCAAAAACACCGACUCUAAGCCAAUGCUUGGAGUCAAGAUCAAUGAGGGAAGAUGACAAAGACCCUUGCCUGUAUCAUCAACUAUUUGUGUACAUGAUGAUCAAUAUUUUCUUCUUUGAUUGGAGAAACAGAUUCUUAUUUUGAUUCCUUAAUAUUUAAGCUCUUCAUAUUCCUCUAAUCUGUUGAGGGAAAUUUGUAGCCGGUGAAGUUGAAGAGAUAAUGAUACUUGCUAUGAAACCAAAAAGUAGAGAGCGCAUAUUUGAUCGAAGUUGUAUUGUGUUCCCAAAUUGCAUAGACAAACUCAACGGUGUUCCCAACCCAUCUAUCCUGUUUAGAUACCAAAUUCGUAAAGAUUCAUUUAGUUUUAGGUUGCCCAAAUUUGUAAAGGUUGCCCGUUUUAGAUCCGCCAGAAUUACAUUGACUCAUAUAGACCCAUUUAAGCUAGGUCUAUUUUGCAUUGAAAACAAAUUUAAUUAUCAUAAUACUUAAAUCAAAUUAAAUUGUUUUGAUUUGCGAGAAGAGAAAAACAAAGCCAAUAAUUAUCAUAAGUCUUCCUCAUUAUUGCUCCAUGGAGCUAAGUGGAAGAAAUAGGUGAUGGUGAUCGGUCAUGAUAUCCAUAGCGUUUGUCUGUUUGCAAUUUGCAAUUUACUGACAUUUCAACUCAAAAGACCAGUUGACUGAGAAAGAUUCAAGAGUCAACUGCCCAUAUCACACGCUCUUUCUAGCUUUCACUAGUAACUGUUUAGUUAGGGAUAUUAUUGGCUUUAACUUUGGUAAUAAGAAGUGUGUGUAAUAAUAGUCAAGAUCACUCAAGACAAAAGUAUGUCUAACAAAUAGACUUAUUUCCAUAUUUUUGCAAUCAUAGUUAACUAUUUGUCUAAAUAAAUAAAGCCCACAUAAUAAUUAUUUUGGCACAUAAGACCUACUAAAAAUACAUUUAAAAAAAAAAAUCAUUACUUCCACUAACUUUAGAAAUGAUAUAAGUGGAAACUGAAAUCUAUAACCACUAAACAUGGGUUAGUGAGAACUUGGAAGAGGAGAGAAAAGAAAGAGUUGUGAAGUCUUUACUUGCAAAGAAAGAAGCUUUGCAGUUGCAGCAGUCACACAUCUUGUCCUCUUUUAAACCCAAAAAAAAAAGGUCUUGUCCUCUUGAUAAAUAUCAUAAGCAUGGAAAGACCCACGAAAUUAUUAAGGAAACAAAGAGUAGCCGUUAGAAUUUGUAUGGUAAUGUUAGUCUUUAGAUGAAAAUAUUAAGGUUAAAAAAAAAAAAAUAUUAAGGUUGAAAUUAAUAGAGAUUAGUGUGACCAGUGGCUUCAAGCGUUGAUAAUGUAGAGUGCCAAACACUGAAACAGGGUGGUCCACCGGUCAUAAUCAUGGUUUUGGUUGGUAUGCAUACAACACAAGUCAAUGAAGACUUUGGGUGGAAAUGAGAAUUUAUAGGGCACACAACACACACAUCACAGCACAAGCUUAAUUUUAGUGUACUCACUAGUAGUAGAGUGUAUAAGACACACUGACACACACACACACACUAUUGUUGUAAUUUGUGUUUCAGGGCCAAACAAAAAGAAAAAAGAGAGAGAGAGAGAGAGAGAGAGAGAGAGAGAGAGAGAGAGAGAGAGAGAGAGAGAGAGAGAGAGAGAGAGAGAGAGAGAGAGAUUGAACUAAUCACCGUCGACGACGAUGCCGACGUGGCUGCUCCUCACCUUCUGGUACCUCUUGUGUAUCUCCGGUUCGGUUCACCUGGUUAGAGCUCAAAAACGAACCGAUCCCGACGAAGGUCUGUAUAUGAAACACUUGUUGAAUGAAUUAGUUAAGCUUUUUGGUUGAGAAACUGACGACUUGUAUACAUAUAAACAAACACAGCGAGAGCUUUGAACUCCAUCUUCGCGACUUGGAAGAUCCAGGUGACGAAGGAAUGGAACAUAAGCGGAGAACUUUGCUCCGGCGUCGCCAUAGAAGAAGGCAUCACCAUAGACAGCAAAGCCUACAACCCUCUGAUCAAAUGCGGAUGCGAUUUCUCCAACUCCACAAUAUGCCGCAUCACCGCACUGUAAACACCUCUUUUGGACUUUUUGUUGAGUGUUGAUCACGCUUUCUCGAUCCAACUGAUGCUGUUGUUGUUGUUUUUUUUUUUUUUUUUUUUUGACUUCACAGCAAGGUUUACGCCAUGGAUGUUGUAGGACCUAUACCUCCACAGCUCUGGACUUUGAAAUUCCUCACAAAUCUGUAUGAACCUCUUUCUUUCUUCUUCUUUCUUCACAAUUAAGCAAUACAAAAUACAUAUAUAAUUGGAGCUAGCUAGCUCAACAAAAAGACACAUAUAUAUAUAUUUCAGGAACCUGGGUCAAAAUUAUCUUACAGGGUCCCUUUCUCCUGCAAUUGGGAAUUUGACUCAAAUGGAAUGGAUGUAAGGUGCUGUGUGAUUGAUACCUUUUAUUUUUGUUCUCUCUUCAAUUUCUUGUCUCACACGCUCCAACUGUGGCUAGGACUUUUGGGAUCAAUGCCUUGUCUGGCCCUCUUCCCAAGGAAAUUGGUUUGCUUACUGAGUUAAAAUUACUGUAAGCUUUCUUCAUUAAUGUCUAAAUAUGUAUAUAUGAUCAAAUUCGAUGAAUUUUGAUGGCGCCUUAUACCUAUCUCUAUACAUAUAUAUUGUGUUUCUGCAUGCAGUGGAAUUGGCUCAAAUAACUUUUCUGGUUCUAUACCAACUGAGAUUGGUAACUGUAAGAAACUACAACAAAUGUGAGUGUGUGUAUCUCCUGCUUUAUAUAUAUAUAUAUAACAAUAGCAAGAGCUAGUGUUCACCCACCACAAAAAUUAAUUUAAGUAAUUAUGAUCGUUUUGCAGGUACAUAGAUAGUUCUGGACUCACCGGGGGAAUACCUUUAUCAUUUGCUAAUUUUGUGGAGCUGCAAGUCGCGUAUGAUUUCCAUAUAUUGAAUUCGAAUUUUUAAGCUUUAUCAUUUGCUAAUCUUUACUCUCUUUUUUUUUUAUUUCCCUCCCUUAAUGCAGCUGGAUUACGGACCUGGAAGUUACCGGUCGAAUACCAGACUUUAUAGGAAAAUGGACCAAACUUACUUCCUUGUAAGAAGAUUUCAUUUUUCUAUAUAAUGGACUUGUUCCAUAUUAUUGCUCUUGUCAUUACUUCUAUUUUCUAGUAUAUAUAUAUGACAGUUAUAUGUGGGAUUCAACGAUUGCUACAUGUUUUAUUAUUGCAAGGAGAAUUCUCGGAACUGGUCUGAGUGGUCCGAUACCUUCAUCAUUUUCCAACUUAACUUCUUUGACAGAACUGUAUGUGUUUUGUAUUGGUCUCAGAAUCUUGCAUUCUUGACUUUUUUUCCUUUUUAAUUGUUUCUGUUUAUUUUUCCCUCUCCACAUACUGUAUAAUCCUAUUCUAAAUGUAGGGGGCUUGGUGAUAUAUCCAAUGUAAGCUCUUCACUUGAAUUCAUCAAAGACAUGAAAUCUUUAAGUACAUUGUAAGGCAACUUCUACCUCCAACUGCAUCCCUCCAUCUCCUCCGUGUAUUUGUUAACAUUAAUUGAUGAUAUAUGUCGCAGAGUAUUGAGGAACAUCAAUCUCACUGGGGCAAUACCGUCUAAUAUUGGAGAGUACUCAAGUCUUCAACAAGUGUAAGUGCAUAUGUCACUAUGUGUGUUUCUCCAAAUGCUCAAGGCACCGAGAGAGAAUACGAAAUGAUCUGUUUUUUUCCUCAUUCAUUAGUUAUUGCUAAAGAGUUUGAUGGUGUCUGUUUUCCAAGUGAUUUAAGCUUCAACAAACUACAAGGACCAGUUCCGGCUUCACUAUUCAACUUACCUAGCCUUACUCACUUGUAAGUAUUCUACUUUAUUUGUGUCUUUAUGUACACCUACAUAAUGAUAGUUGUGAGACAAAUCCUACUUUGUUGAUAUAUAUAUGUAUAUAUAUAUCAUUUUAGGCUUCUGGGAAACAACACGUUCAAUGGUUCCUUGCCCACUCAAAAGAGGCAGUCUUUGAGCAAUAUGUGGGUAACAAAAUCCUUUAUACUUCUUUUGAAGGGCUUGUUAACAGAAGCUCCUGAUAUGUAAUUAGGAAACUGUUUUGGAAAUAACAUAUUCUUUUGUAAUUAACAGAGAUAUGUCGUACAAUGAUUUGUCUGGAAGUCUUCCUCCAUGGGUGAGAUUACCAAACUUGAAACUGUAAGUACACAAUACAUUUGUCUGGAAUUUUUUUCUUAUGUCGUAUAUUCUUAGGUUUCAGUUCAUAUAUCUCUUUCACUAGAAAAUAGUUCUUAUUAUGAUCAUAGUAAACAAAACUGUAUGUUAUUUGUGCAGCAACCUAGUUGCUAACAACUUCACAUUGGAAGGUCUUGACAAAAGGUUUGGAUAUUCAUAUUCUCAAAUAAGUUCUUGUUCGCUGCUAACAACUUUCACAUUGGAAGGACUUCUCAUCAAAUUUCUUCUUUUUUUAUUUUGGCUAAAAGGGUUUUAUCAGGACUGGACUGCCUACAGAAGAACUUCCCCUGCAAUCGAGGCAAAGGAAUAUGUAAGUGUAACAAAGAGAUAUAUCUUCCUCCUCAUAACCAUAUACUGUACGUAUAUAUGUAGUCUUGGAAAAUAAACUUAAAAGAUACAUUUUUUCUCUAUUGAUUGGUGUCUAGAUUAUAACUUUUCGAUCAAUUGUGGAGGGCCAGAGAUAAGAUCUGCUGGCGGAGCUGUAUAUGAGAAAGAGAACGAGGAUCUUGGACCGGCUUCGUUUGUUGUGAGCGCUGCUCAGAGAUGGGCAGCCAGUAAUGUAGGAGUUUUCGCUGGAAGUAGCAAUAAUAUAUACAUAUCUACUUCACAAUCACAGUUCAUCAACACUUUGGACUCAGAGCUUUUUCAGUCAGCAAGACUCUCUGCAUCUUCCCUAAGGUACUAUGGGCUGGGGCUAGAAAAUGGAGGCUAUACCGUAACACUUGAGUUUGCUGAAAUCCAAAUUCUUGGAUCUAACACUUGGAGAAGUCUAGGAAAACGACGUUUCGACAUUUAUGUCCAGGUCUCUGCACUACUUUACUUGAUCGAGCUUUCUGCUUCACAAGUAUUAACUUUUUGAAGUGAUCUUGUUCCUGAAUGUUUUUUCCAGGGAAGACUUGUUGAAAAGGAUUUUGAUAUACGCAGAAGAGCUGGUGACUCUACUUUUCGAGCAGUUCAGAGAGAAUAUAAAGCAAAUGUAUCAGAGAAUUACCUCGAAAUUCAUCUUUUCUGGGCUGGAAAAGGAACAUGUUGUAUUCCUAUCCAAGGGGCUUAUGGGCCAUUGAUAUCGGCCGUUAGUGCAAAACCAGG